GCGGGUUGGUCAUUAAUAAAAUUACAUUGUUUCCUUGAGAUUCUUGAACUGUAUGUGUGAUUGCCACUCUGAGUUGGUUAAUAUCAAAUCUGUAUUUGCACUUGCAAUUGGGUAUACACUUAGUUGCUCAGUUGGUGUUGAGUCUUCUCUUAGUUGAUGGAACUACAUGGUGUAAAUUAGAUUUGAUGUUAACAUUGCGUUCACUUAGUCCGCUUUUAUGAAAACAUAAUUAGCCUACGCUUAGUUGAUUAAUUGUGUUGGAUUAGAGGUUUGAGUCGGCUUUACUUUGUUGAUAUGUGAUAGGAAGCAUUGUAAUUAAGUUAAUGACCAACCGUUUUCAGUCUGUCUUGGAAACCGUUUUUAGAUCUGUGUUUGCAUUUCUGUUUGCGUCAGUGUUUUAAAUUUAAUUCAUCCGCAUUCACCACAACAAUUUCACAAAACCCCCCA
rnacentral:lncRNA from 1 species